GUGGGGAAUUUUGGACAAUGGGCGCAAGCCUGAUCCAGCAAUGCCGCGUGCAGGAAGAAGGCCUUCGGGUUGUAAACUGCUUUUGUACGGAACGAAACGGUCCGGGUUAAUACCCUGGGCUAAUGACGGUACCGUAAGAAUAAGCACCGGCUAACUACGUGCCAGCAGCCGCGGUAAUACGUAGGGUGCAAGCGUUAAUCGGAAUUACUGGGCGUAAAGCGUGCGCAGGCGGGUUUGUAAGACAGGCGUGAAAUCCCCGGGCUCAACCUGGGAAUUGCGCUUGUGACUGCAAGGCUGGAGUGCGGCAGAGGGGGAUGGAAUUCCGCGUGUAGCAGUGAAAUGCGUAGAUAUGCGGAGGAACACCGAUGGCGAAGGCAAUCCCCUGGGCCUGCACUGACGCUCAUGCACGAAAGCGUGGGGAGCAAACAGGAUUAGAAACCCUAGUAGUCC
rnacentral:rRNA from 1 species